CCUACGGGUGGCAGCAGUCGAGAAUCAUUCACAAUGGGGGAAACCCUGAUGGUGCGACGUCGCGUGGGGGAAUGAAGGUCUUCGGAUUGUAAACCCCUGUCAUGUGGGAGCAAAUUAAAAAGAUAGUACCACAAGAGGAAGAGACGGCUAACUCUGUGCCAGCAGCCGCGGUAAUACAGAGGUCUCAAGCGUUGUUCGGAAUCACUGGGCGUAAAGCGUGCGUAGGCUGUUUCGUAAGUCGUGUGUGAAAGGCGCGGGCUCAACCCGCGGACGGCACAUGAUACUGCGAGACUAGAGUAAGGGAGGGGGAACCGGAAUUCUCGGUGUAGCAGUGAAAUGCGUAGAUAUCGAGAGGAACACUCGUGGCGAAGGCGGGUUCCUGGACAUUAACUGACGCUGAGGCACGAAGGCCAGGGGAGCGAAAGGGAUUAGAUACCCGAGUAGUC
rnacentral:rRNA from 1 species